rnacentral:rRNA from 1 species
UACGUAGGGUGCAAGCGUUGUCCGGAAUUAUUGGGCGUAAAGAGCUCGUAGGCGGCUUGUCGCGUCGGCUGUGAAAACCUGGGGCUCAACCCCGGGCCUGCAGCCGAUACGGGCAAGCUAGAAUUCGGUAGGGGAGACUGGAAUUCCUGGUGUAGCGGUGGAAUGCGCAGAUAUCAGGAGGAACACCUAUAGCGAAGGCAGCUUGCUGGGACGUUACUGACGCUAAGGCGCGAAAGCGUGGGGAGCGAACAGG